rnacentral:rRNA from 1 species
ACUCCUGCGGGAGGCAGCAGUGGGGAAUAUUGCACAAUGGGCGCAAGCCUGAUGCAGCGACGCCGCGUGGGGGAUGAAGGCCUUCGGGUUGUAAACUCCUUUCGCUAGGGACGAAGCUUUUUUGUGACGGUACCUAGAUAAGAAGCACCGGCUAACUACGUGCCAGCAGCCGCGGUAAUACGUAGGGUGCGAGCGUUGUCCGGAAUUACUGGGCGUAAAGGGCUCGUAGGUGGUUUGUCGCGUCGUCUGUGAAAUUCUGGGGCUUAACUCCGGGCGUGCAGGCGAUACGGGCAUAACUUGAGUGCUGUAGGGGUAACUGGAAUUCCUGGUGUAGCGGUGAAAUGCGCAGAUAUCAGGAGGAACACCGAUGGCGAAGGCAGGUUACUGGGCAGUUACUGACGCUGAGGAGCGAAAGCAUGGGUAGCGAACAGGAUUAGAAACCCGUGUAGUCC